AUUGAACGCUGGCGGCAGGCCUAACACAUGCAAGUCGAGCGGCAGCGGGUCCUUCGGGAUGCCGGCGAGCGGCGGACGGGUGAGUAAUGCCUAGGAAUCUGCCUGGUAGUGGGGGAUAACUCGGGGAAACUCGAGCUAAUACCGCAUACGUCCUACGGGAGAAAGCGGGGGAUCUUCGGACCUCGCGCUACCAGAUGAGCCUAGGUCGGAUUAGCUAGUUGGUGAGGUAAAGGCUCACCAAGGCUACGAUCCGUAGCUGGUCUGAGAGGAUGAUCAGCCACACUGGAACUGAGACACGGUCCAGACUCCUACGGGAGGCAGCAGUGGGGAAUAUUGGACAAUGGGCGAAAGCCUGAUCCAGCCAUGCCGCGUGUGUGAAGAAGGUCUUCGGAUUGUAAAGCACUUUAAGUUGGGAGGAAGGGCAGUAAGUUAAUACCUUGCUGUUUUGACGUUACCGACAGAAUAAGCACCGGCUAACUUCGUGCCAGCAGCCGCGGUAAUACGAAGGGUGCAAGCGUUAAUCGGAAUUACUGGGCGUAAAGCGCGCGUAGGUGGUUUGAUAAGUUGGAUGUGAAAGCCCCGGGCUCAACCUGGGAAUUGCAUCCAAAACUGUCUGACUAGAGUAUGGCAGAGGGUGGUGGAAUUUCCUGUGUAGCGGUGAAAUGCGUAGAUAUAGGAAGGAACACCAGUGGCGAAGGCGACCACCUGGGCUAAUACUGACACUGAGGUGCGAAAGCGUGGGGAGCAAACA
rnacentral:rRNA from 1 species